rnacentral:rRNA from 1 species
GCAUCCUAACAAAUCAGCCUGAACAUACCCAAUCUCAUGAAAUCUUUGAGCAAAGCAGAGUUAGAGCUGGGUUAGUACUUGGAUCGGAGACUGCCUGGGAAUACCAUGUCUUGCAGGUC